rnacentral:lncRNA from 1 species
CUCAUGGUCAUGGUGAUGUUCAUUCACUUCUCUAUUCAAGUGGUCUUCUUAAAGAAUGGAAAGAUGCUGGUUUAAGAUGGGUACUGUUUUUCCAAGAUACAAAUGGACUUCUAUUCAGCAAUUCCUGCAGCUUUAGGAGUUAGCGCCACUAAAGAGUAUCAUGUUAAUUCUCUUUCGGUUCCUCGCAAAGCUAAAGAAGCUAUUGGAGGCAUUACAUGA